rnacentral:lncRNA from 8 species
GCCCACUCAAUGAUGGUACAAUUCCUUAGUUUGCUGUUAGGGCCUACGUUAAACGCUUUAGGCUAACAGGUAAGCAGCCUAGGAUACACAUCGUACAGUAGGUUGCAUAAGGUAUGUUUAACAGUUGUCAUGUAGCCAACAUUAGGCAAUGGAAAAGGUAUCUGCUAGCCUGGUUGCCAUCUCAGUUCAACUAUUACAUUCAAGGAGUGGAAUACCUAAAACGACUGAUACUCAGACUUAGGUAUCUGCAGUGAGCAUGAACAUAUUGCUUAUAGAAGUUGAGACCCUAUUAGUCUCAUUUAAUAACAUGAGUCCUAAAUAAUACAUUCCUUGACGUGUCCUGUCCAGUGUGAGAAUUCUAGCAGAGCUAUAUCGAUUCUAUGCCUACACUAUUUUCUUAUUUUCUAUCCAUGUGGGGGCGUAACGCCUCACCUAACUCGCGCGCGCUGCGAACAGAUGAUACAGCAUUGCGCGGUAUGAGCUCAAAAAUUUAACAAAAGAAAUCAUCCUAAAACGGAAUGGUGGGAGCACGGAUGUGGAAAGUAUAGAAGUUAUUUUGAACCCAUUAGCAAAGGCAAAUCAUUAUUUUGGCCCUGAUUUAAAGGGUAGUCUUUUGGCAAAUUUGCUGUAAGCGCAUUGCUCCCCACCAAAGCCAGCUACAGGGGAGGGACUGCCGAUUUCUCGACUUUGCAGCUCUGAAUGAAGGGGAGGGGGUCCGUAGACCGAAAUUGAUGGUAGUGGGCUACUGAGGAAGACUACUCCUCUUGAUAUUAAAGGCAAAAUACACAUUUCAGUCGAACACAGCAGAGUUGGUGAAACGGGACGGUGGUGAAACAUGGAGAUGUCUGAGGGGCUGUCACAGCAGGAGAGACUCCAGGCUAUAGCGGUAAGUGAUGAGAUCCUCCUGCCAUAUGUGGCUCACAACCGUUACACUUUCAUGGCCAAAACACUUACUAUACAGUAUAAUGUACACAGCGCACUCCGACAUUACCGCGCAGCGAAACGAUUGCAAUUAAUAUGUUUAUAUACGGUAGUAGAUGGACUGGUUUUGGUUUGAUGGAUUUGACGGGAGAUUUCUUGCUCCACUUUCAUUUCCGUCUCGAAGCGUUCCACGAGCGUAUCCUCUUUAGUGGCUUUAAUCAUUAAUGCCAACCGACUGGGAAGGAGAAAUAAA